rnacentral:siRNA from 1 species
GAAACUCACGUUUAGUAGCGUCU